UCAAGGAAACGUGGGGCUAAUACCGGAUAGGAGCUCCUGCUGCAUGGUGGGGGUUGGAAAGUUUCGGCGGUUGGGGAUGGACUCGCGGCUUAUCAGCUUGUUGGUGGGGUAGUGGCUUACCAAGGCUUUGACGGGUAGCCGGCCUGAGAGGGUGACCGGCCACAUUGGGACUGAGAUACGGCCCAG
rnacentral:rRNA from 1 species